rnacentral:rRNA from 1 species
UACGUAGGGGGCAAGCGUUGUCCGGAUUUAUUGGGCGUAAAGGGCGCGUAGGCGGCCAACUAAGUCAGACGUGAAAUCCCUCGGCUCAACCGGGGAACUGCGUCUGAUACUGGAUGGCUUGAAUUCGGGAGAGGGAUGCGGAAUUCCAGGUGUAGCGGUGAAAUGCGUAGAUAUCAGUCGGAACACCGGUGGCGAAGGCGGCUUCUUGGGCCGUUUCUGACGCUGAGGCGCGAAAGCCAGGGGAGCGAACGGG